ACCGAGUGGAGCUUUGCAGAGAUGCCAUGUUAAUACACACAUUAGUAUAUACCAAAAAUUGAAGUACUGACAUACCCGACUUCUGUUUGCAUCAUCUGAUUGCCAUGAGAGAAAACAAGGGGAUCACACACCACUAUAGCCUUUAAAACCAUACAAAAAAUUGAUUUCAAGGUUUAUAAUUUCUAAACUACAGUUACGUGGUUUUCAAUAGAUCUAUAAAUGAAUACAGGGAGACACAGUACAGGUAAAUUAUAACAACGUAACCUGAUCCCAUAGCUACAUGGAUCAAUCGAUGUUGUAGAAUUCUAUCAGAAAAACCAAUUUUUCAGCAAAACCAUUUGAAACAUAAGAUGCCAUUGAACACCUUAAAUCUAUUUCAAGAGAAUGACAGAAAUUGAACUCUAAAUCAAUCCUAGCAUCCCUGAUUGAAACAGGUUAGUUUGAUUUUUCAGACAAUGUAUAUGCAUUUGAUUUUUCAGAUGUUUCAGAUAUACAGGACCUCCAUUCAGAAACAGUAUUUAGAAUUCAAUGAU
rnacentral:lncRNA from 1 species